AGGACGAACGCUGGCGGCGUGCUUAACACAUGCAAGUCGAGCGGAAAGGCCCUUCGGGGUACUCGAGCGGCGAACGGGUGAGUAACACGUGAGCAACCUGCCCUUAGCUUCGGGAUAGCUCCGGGAAACCGGAAUUAAUACCGGAUAUGACUAUGGCCGACAUCAGCCAUGGUGGAAAGUUUUUCGGCUAGGGAUGGACUCGCGGCCUAUCAGCUAGUUGGUGAGGUAACGGCUCACCAAGGCGACGACGGGUAGCCGGCCUGAGAGGGCGACCGGCCACACUGGGACUGAGACACGGCCCAGACUCCUACGGGAGGCAGCAGUGGGGAAUAUUGCGCAAUGGGCGAAAGCCUGACGCAGCGACGCCGCGUGGGGGAUGAAUGCCUUCGGGUUGUAAACCCCUUUCAGCAGGGACGAAGCGAAAGUGACGGUACCUGCAGAGAAGCGCCGGCUAACUACGCGCCAGCAGCCGC
rnacentral:rRNA from 1 species